rnacentral:rRNA from 1 species
CCUACGGGAGGCAGCAGUGGGGAAUAUUGCACAAUGGGCGGAAGCCUGAUGCAGCGACGCCGCGUGAGGGAUGGAGGCCUUCGGGUUGUAAACCUCUUUCAGCAGGGACGAAGCGUGAGUGACGGUAUCUGCAGAAGAAGCACCGGCUAACUACGUGCCAGCAGCCGCGGUAAUACGUAGGGUGCGAGCGUUGUCCGGAAUUACUGGGCGUAAAGAGUUCGUAGGCGGUUUGUCGCGUCGUUUGUGAAAACCCGGGGCUCAACUUCGGGCUUGCAGGCGAUACGGGCAGACUUGAGUGUUUCAGGGGAGACUGGAAUUCCUGGUGUAGCGGUGAAAUGCGCAGAUAUCAGGAGGAACACCGGUGGCGAAGGCGGGUCUCUGGGAAACAACUGACGCUGAGGAACGAAAGCGUGGGUAGCAAACAGGAUUAGAUACCCUGGUAGUCCACGCCGUAAACGGUGGGCGCUAGGUGUGGGUUCCUUCCACGGAAUCUGUGCCGUAGCUAACGCAUUAAGCGCCCGCCUGGGGAGUACGGCCGCAAGGCUAAAACUCAAAUGAAUUGACGG